GAGGUUCCCAACGUCUUGCCUUAUGUGUGGCUGGAAGACAGACUCUAUCCAGCAGAGGCAGGUGGCCCAGAUGAAGAGAAUUUGAGGAACAGGGCCCUGAGGAGUGAGCAGGCCCUGAUGCUGGGAGUGAGAAGAGCCCACCUGGCUCAGAGGAUUGAAGACCUGGAAUGGGAGCUGUCCCUGCUCCUCCAGGUGACAGAUGGCAGUGUGCGUGCAGGAGGGGACUGGCCCAGCCUGGGGAGACACUGAGUCACACAGGAUGCUGUGGUGGCCACCUGUAGGAGUGUCUUCUCCACAGAGAACACAACCAGAGCCUGGACUUGUACAGAUUUCUGCCUGGGAUCCUUUGGGGUGAGGAAAAAUAAAGUUGUAGAGUUUGAGAAAAUUGACCUGUGUUCCCAUCACUGAAUCUAUCCCUCCUCAUUCUCUCUUGAGGGUACUGACCACUGAGUGCUGCAGUCCAGGCCAAAUGCCCCCAACAGUUUUACUGCGGUGCCCAGCUUCAGGGGUGACAAGUGCUCGGGAUGGGGAGUAUGAGAACUUAGAUGAAGUUGUAGCACAGAGCUUCCACACCCAUCUUCCAUCAUUCUGGAGUCAUCAUGGGGAUCCCCAGUGGGCUGCAUGUCCUGCCCAGUUCCAGUGACCUCCUGGAGCACAGAAAUGAGGAAGAAGCUUGAAGGGCCUGUGCUGCACAAGACAAUGACGCUCCAACACGGUCAAUGUGCAAAUGAGAGAGGCAUCUGCAUUCGUGCACAAGUGAAGCUGGAACCAAAUGAAAGCUCCCUGCAGUCUGAGAACUGUAGAUUCCUCUUCUGCAGCAAAAAGCCAAGAGCUGCAGCCUGAGAUUGUACCCUGCUUACUGCCAGCUGUGCCACCUCCUGGUGAAGCAACAAUGAGCAAGCUGCUUAAACUCUGUACUUCAGGUUUCUUGUCAAUAAAACAAAGGUGAUCAGCA
rnacentral:lncRNA from 1 species